UACGUAGGGGGCGAGCGUUGUCCGGAUUUAUUGGGCGUAAAGAGCGUGUAGGCGGUUCGGUAAGUCUGUCGUGAAAUCCUGAGGCUCAACCUUGGACGUGCGAUGGAUACUGCCGGGCUAGAGGAUGGUAGAGGCGAGUGGAAUUCUCGGUGUAGCGGUGAAAUGCGCAGAUAUCGGGAGGAACACCAGUGGCGAAGGCGGUCUCCUGGGGCAUUCUUGACGCUGAGACGCGAAAGCUGGGGGAGCGAACGGG
rnacentral:rRNA from 1 species